GUCUAUUCCAACUCUAUGAUUCUAUGAUUCUAUGAAAUUAGUUUUUUAAUGAAAAGAACACUCACAAAAUACAUAUGUUAAGAUGCAUAUUCAGAAUAUAUAGAAUCAUAGAAUCAUAGAAUCAUAGAGCUGGAAGAGAC